AUGAACGUGCAGCGGUAUUUUCUCCAUCAGGGGACAUACAUAUCGGAGCAGCUAAAGAGUAAAGAGGGUUUUUUUAAGGGUAGACAAAUCAAGGAUUUCAUCUGUAUCACUUGUGAUGCAAUUAAUUUGCCAAACCAAAAGUACUUUGGUGGUAACAUCUCCAUGAAAAUAGAAGCCAAAGCCUUUAAUACCAUAGAUUGGACUUUCCUUAAAAAAGUUCUUAAAGUCUUCGGGUUCAACUAUACUUUUUGUGACUGGAUCUCCAUCAUCCUUCAGUCUUCUAAACUCUAUCUCUAUCAAUGGCAAUUUGAAGGUUUUUUCUCUUUUUCUAGUGGGGUAAGACAACGGGAUCUCUUAUCUCCCUUGCUUUUUUUAUAUUGCAGGGGAAGUGGUUAG